UACAGAGGUCCCAAGCGUUGUUCGGAUUCACUGGGCGUAAAGGGUGCGUAGGUGGUUGUGCAAGUCUGAUGUGAAAUCUCCGGGCUCAACCCGGAAAUGGCAUUGGAAACUGCAUGGCUAGAGGGUUGGAGGGGGGACUGGAAUACUUGGUGUAGCAGUGAAAUGCGUAGAUAUCAAGUGGAACACCAGUGGCGAAGGCGAGUCCCUGGACAACACCUGACACUGAGGCACGGAAGCUAGGGGAGCAAACAGG
rnacentral:rRNA from 1 species